CUGACCUCAAAUAAUUCUGAUCAAGAACCAGCACUGGGAGUAAGCCAACCUUUAAAGAGAUGUUAACACAGCAUACUCCUGACUGGAUUUUCAUCCAAAGCUGCCACUAUCACAACAGUUGACCCAAGAAAAAGUGAAUGAAAACUUUGAUCAUCUCAUGGAAGUCUAUCUAAAGAAAUCUGACCUAUCAGGAACACCAGUAAGAAUGAAGAAGGAAUCCAAACCACCACACAAAUUGCUCCACUGUGCUAUGUACUCCAUCCCAAAUCUCCCGAUGUGGAAUGUCAUCCUCACUACAUAAUGGGUCAGGGUUAUGCAACGAAAAGUCAGUAGAAGUAGCUAAUGAUCUUCUCUUUCAUACACAACUUCAUAUUUUCAAGAAAAUUACAUUUUCUUCAUGCAUGUCUGCGGGGAUGGAAGAAACUAAAAACCUCUUUUCUCAAAAGUAGUUAAGGUAAAUGAGAUCAAUGGAUCCAACUGACUGCCAGAAAUGGAGUAGUGGAGCCCUUAAUAUCAUCAAUUCAAGAUAUUGGACACCCAUCCAUCGAUUUUCUCCCUGUCUUUAUUAGAAGUCAAUAGCUCCUCAUCACACAUUCGACAGGUGAGGAUUCCUAGAAGUACUGCAUGUGGACUGAAGUAGUUUGGUGUGCCUGUGUCCAGAGCAUUAGGUGGGAAUUAGAAUUGUCCUCUGUUUAUACCAUCCUCAAUCCCACACACCAUAUAGAGACUCAAAAAACACCCACUGAUCCAUGAACCUUCCCUCACUGAGUGCCUUGAUAAUUAGCACAUGAUUAACUCUAGGGGCCACCUUGCAUUGCAUUUGAGCACAAAGGAAUAAAGUGGAUGGCAAAAAAAUAAUGAGUAGGAGAUUGGGCUCCAUGGUGAGACCAUUUGAAUCCUGACUUCAUCAUAUUUGUAGCUUUAGGCAUAUCACUGAAUUUCUCCAAAUCUCAUUUUCUCUUCUACAAAAUUAGGAGCAUAACAGUUAUACUAAACUAGCAGAGUUCUCGUGAGAUUAAGUGAAAGAAUUUUUGUAGAGUUUAGCAUCAAGCAAGUGUUCAAUAAGUGUUCUUAUUGUGAUUAGUUCAAUAUAAAAAUGACCAAGUGCUGUAUCAUGUUAUAUUGCUUCAAAAUGCAAAAAUAAGAAUUCAUAGAGUGGGAGAUCAUUGUGGCACUAAGGAGAGUAUACAUAUUAACUAGAGAAAUGUUUCUUAAACAAGAUAGGUUCUGACCUAGAUCUCAGAGACUAAAUAGGUUUAGAUCUGCAAAGGGCUCUUCCCAUGGGCAAAAGAGCCAGGAGGAUAUAAUCCCUGAGUAUGCAGAAAAAUAAGUGAACAUUCAGAAUUUUGAAUAAGUACCCAAGAGCUAGAAAAGGAGCAUUUCAAAAUCUACUAUGGAAGUGCCAGGCAAUUUCAGAAAAGAUGAUCUAUCUAGUGAUAAUAACUGGCUGAUCAAAACCAUAGUGUGGUAGGUAAGCAAAGGUUUUGCAGCAGACAGGCCUAAGUAUAAAUCACAAACUACCUAAUGUUUCAAUCCUCACUAGUCCCAUCUUUGUUAUGAAAUUAUUUUCACCUACCUUGCAAAAUUUUGGGGAGAAUUAAAUGAGCUGUUGAAGGUAAAACAGUCCUCUCAGGGUCUGACUCACUGUCAGCUAGCGUGAUUACCUAGUAUAUUCUAAGAAAAACAAAUACAAAAAAACGUUAUUUCAAUUCACCUGUACAAACACCAAAGUAGGGUUGCCUAACUGAGGCAGGAGAAUAGAUUCUGGAGGUAGGGCACUUAAGACCAAUUCGUGCCGAAUUCAGGAAAAACAUCUUGAUUUCCUAGGGCAGGGAAUCUGAGGCCAAUUUGUGCUGAGACUUCCUAAAAUAGAAAACACCAAGUUCUGGGGUCAGGGAAUCUGAGGCCAAUUCCUGCUGACUUCCCAAAGCUGGACCAAAAGGAAAACACCUGGGUCUAGGAGCAGGGAAGGCCAAUUAAAUGCAAAUGUAAGGCCAAUUAAAUGCAAACAUCCUAAAGCUAAACCAAGAGGAAAAACCCCAUCCCCAAAGGAUCAAAGGCUACUCUCCCUAAAGCCCUCCCCGUUCCACCACAUCUCAGAUGGAAAGGGAGAGUGCCUUGGAUUGGCCGCAGGCCAAGCAGGGACCAUCCCUUCAUGUGCAUAGAGCGCCAAUUCACCGCAGCCUUUAAUUAGCCAAAGACCAAAUCCUUCAUUCCAGAUAAGGGGUAACCAACGGGGACCUCAAACGAAGUACUUAAAACCCAG
ensembl:lincRNA